rnacentral:rRNA from 1 species
UACGUAGGGACCGAGCGUUGUCCGGAAUCAUUGGGCGUAAAGAGCGUGUAGGCGGCUUGUCGCGUCUGCCGUGAAAGUCCGGGGCUCAACUCCGGAUCUGCGGUGGGUACGGGCAGACUAGAGUGAUGUAGGGGAGACUGGAAUUCCUGGUGUAGCGGUGAAAUGCGCAGAUAUCAGGAGGAACACCGAUGGCGAAGGCAGGUCUCUGGGCAUUAACUGACGCUGAGGAGCGAAAGCAUGGGGAGCGAACAGG